UGGGGAAUAUUGCACAAUGGGCGCAAGCCUGAUGCAGCCAUGCCGCGUGUAUGAAGAAGGCCUUCGGGUUGUAAAGUACUUUCCAGUCGGGAGGAAGGUGUAAAGGUUAAUACCUUUGUCAAUUGACGUUACCGACAGAAGAAGCACGGGUUAAUUCCGUGCCAGCAGCCGCGGUAAUACGGAGGGUGCAAGCGUUAAUCGGAAUUACUGGGCGUAAAGGGCACGCAGGCGGUUGAUUGAGUCAGAUGUGAAAUCCCCGGGCUUAACCCGGGAAUUGCAUCUGAUACUGGUCAGCUAGAGUCUUGUAGAGGGGGGUAGAAUUCCAGGUGUGGCGGUGAAAUGCGUAGAGAUCUGGAGGAAUACCGGUGGCGAAGGCGGCCCCCUGGACGAAGACUGACGCUCAGGUGCGAAAGCGUGGGGAGCAAACAGG
rnacentral:rRNA from 1 species